AACGAACGCUGGCGGCAGGCUUAACACAUGCAAGUCGAACGCAUCCUUCGGGGUGAGUGGCAGACGGGUGAGUAACGCGUGGGAACGUGCCCUUCAGUUCGGGAUAACCCAGGGAAACUUGGGCUAAUACCGGAUACGUGCGAGAGCGGAAAGAUUUAUCGCUGAAGGAUCGGCCCGGGUCUGAUUAGCUAGUUGGUGGGGUAAUUGCCCACCAAGGCGACGAUCAGUAGCUGGUCUGAGAGGAUGAUCAGCCACAUUGGGACUGAGACACGGCCCAAACUCCUACGGGAGGCAACAGUGGGGAAUAUUGGACAAUGGGCGCAAGCCUGAUCCAGCCAUGCCGCGUGAGUGAUGAAGGCCUUAGGGUUGUAAAGCUCUUUCGUCCGGGACGAUAAUGACGGUACCGGAAGAAGAAGCCCCGGCUAACUUCGUGCCAGCCGCCGCAGUAA
rnacentral:rRNA from 1 species